UACGGAGGGUGCGAGCGUUAUCCGGAUUUACUGGGUUUAAAGGGUGUGUAGGCGGAAUAUUAAGUCAGUGGUGAAAUCUUCAGGCUCAACCUGGAAACUGCCAUUGAUACUAUUGUUCUUGAAUACUGUGGAGGUGAGCGGAAUGUGUCAUGUAGCGGUGAAAUGCAUAGAGAUGACACAGAACACCGAUUGCGAAGGCAGCUCACUACGCAGUGAUUGACGCUGAGGCACGAAAGCGUGGGGAUCAAACAGG
rnacentral:rRNA from 1 species